GUAGACCGCCUGGGGAGUACCGCCGCAAGGUUAAAUCUUCAAAUGAAUUGACGGGGGCCCGCACAAGCGGUGGAGCAUGUGGUUUAAUUCGACGCAACGCGAAGAACCUUACCUGGCCUUGACAUGCAGAGAACUUUCCAGAGAUGGAUUGGUGCCUUCGGGAACUCUGACACAGGUGCUGCAUGGCCGUCGUCAGCUCGUGUCGUGAGAUGUUGGGUUAAGUCCCGUAACGAGCGCAACCCCUAUCCCUAGUUGCUAGCAGUUCGGCUGAGAACUCUAGGGAGACUGCCGGUGACAAACCGGAGGAAGGUGGGGAUGACGUCAGGUCAUCAUGGCCCUUACGGCCAGGGCUACACACGUGCUACAAUGGUGCGCACAGAGGGCUGCAAACCCGCGAGGGGGAGCCAAUCUCACAAAACGCAUCGUAGUCCGGAUCGCAGUCUGCAACUCGACUGCGUGAAGUCGGAAUCGCUAGUAAUCGUGAAUCAGAAGGUCACGGUGAAUACGUUCCCGGGCCUUGUACACACCGCCCGUCUACACCAUGGGAGUGGAUGGCACCAGAAGUGGUUAGUCUAACCUUCGGGAGGACGAUCACCACGGUGUG
rnacentral:rRNA from 1 species